GGACGAACGCUGGCGGCGUGCUUAACACAUGCAAGUCGAGCGAUGAAGCUCCUUCGGGAGUGGAUUAGCGGCGGACGGGUGAGUAACACGUGGGCAACCUGCCUUGUAGAGAGGAAUAGCCAUUCGAAAGGAUGAUUAAUACCUCAUAAUAUUGUAGCUUCGCAUGAAGCAACAACCAAAGGAGCAAUCCACUACAAGAUGGGCCCGCGGCGCAUUAGCUAGUUGGUGGGGUAACGGCUCACCAAGGCGACGAUGCGUAGCCGACCUGAGAGGGUGAUCGGCCACAUUGGGACUGAGACACGGCCCAGACUCCUACGGGAGGCAGCAGUGGGGAAUAUUGCACAAUGGGGGAAACCCUGAUGCAAGCAACGCCGCGUGAGUGAUGACGGUCUUCGGAUUGUAAAGCUCUGUCUUCAGGGACGAUAAUGACGGUACCUGAGGAGGAAGCCACGGCUAACUACGUGCCAGCCGCAGC
rnacentral:rRNA from 1 species